UACAGAGGUCUCAAGCGUUGUUCGGAUUCAUUGGGCGUAAAGGGCGCGUAGGCGGCGGGGUAAGUCGGGUGUGAAAUCUCAGAGCUCAACUCUGAAACUGCACUCGAUACUGCUCUGCUUGAGGACUGGAGAGGAGACUGGAAUUCACGGUGUAGCAGUGAAAUGACGUAGAUAUCGUGAGGAAGACCAGUGGCGAAGGCGGGUCUCUGGACAGUUCCUGACGCUG
rnacentral:rRNA from 1 species